rnacentral:rRNA from 1 species
AAACUUUCACCAACGGAUUUCUUGGUUUUGGCAUCGAUGAAGAACGCAGGGAAAUGCGAUAAGUAAUGUGAAUUGCGGAAUUCAGGGAUUCAUCGAAUCUUUGAACGCCCAUUGCGCCCCUUGGUAUUCCGAGGAGCAGGCCUGUUCGAGGGUCAUU